rnacentral:rRNA from 1 species
CCUACGGGUGGCAGCAGUGGGGGAUAUUGCACAAUGGGGGAAACCCUGAUGCAGCGACGCCGCGUGGGCGAAGAAGUAUUUCGGGAUGUAAAGCACUAUCAGCAGGGAAGAAGACAUGACGGUACCUGAGUAAGAAGCACCGGCUAAAUAGGUGACAGCAGCCGCGGUAAUACGGAGGGUGCAAGCGUUAUCCGGCUGUACUGGGUGUAAAGGGAGCGCAGGCGGCACGGCAAGCCUGAUGUGAAAGCCCGCGGCCCAACCGCGGGACUGCAUUGGGAACUACCAGGCUGGAGUGUCGGAGAGGUAGGUGGAAUUCCUAGUGUAGCGGUGAAAUGCGUAGAUAUUAGGAGGAACACCAGUGGCGAAGGCGGCCUACUGGACGGUGACUGACGCUGAGGCUCGAAAGCGUGGGGAGCAAACAGGAUUAGAUACCCGAGUAGUC